GUCCCGUUGAUACAUAAGGACGGU
rnacentral:siRNA from 1 species